CUUGAUCUACUCAUUACGACGAUCGUGACACUCUCUGCCCUAACAAUUGGAGUUGCUGUCUACAAAGUGGCGUGGCGGGAUGUCUAGUUCCCGCCUACCCUUUCUUUGGAUUGGCUCACUCCUCUCCCCGGUCUCAUCGACGACCAUCCGGCAUACCCAGUGAGGCGCCUCCUGAGUGUUUGACCUCGGGGCAGGGGAUUCCAGUACCUGGUUGACUGGGAGGGUUAUGGCCCGGAGGAGAGGUGCUGGGUCCCCGCUAGGAAACAUAAUGGACUUAGCCCUCAUUGCUGAGUGCUGCUGCCAGCAGGUAUGUGGCCAGGUAGGACUCCAGUUGGCGCCCUUAGAGAGGGUGGUACUGUCGCACCCUGAUCUCUUUCACCUGUCUUGUGCUUGUCUCCACCCCCCACCAUGUGUCUCCCACUUGUCCCCAUUAUCUCCUGUGUAUUUAUACCUGCAUUUUCUGUUAGUCUGUUG
ensembl:lncRNA